AAGUAUAAAAAACGGCUUAAACGGAAGAUGUAUAGAUAACAGAGACCUCUGCAGGAGCUGGGCGAUAGCGGCGAAGCGCCUUUGAAUGUGAAAAAAGAAAUAUACUUGCAUACUUACCGACCGUUUAUUACUAGUAUACGCCUAUAUUAUUUACGCGGCUGUCGUUUCACGUUGUUCAUUUGCGAAAAAACAUCGAUCCCGACGGUUGACUGUAUUAUGAAAAUAUUAUACGUCCUAGCGUAU